UACGGAGGAUGCGAGCGUUAUCCGGAUUUAUUGGGUUUAAAGGGUGCGUAGGCGGACUGUCAAGUCAGCGGUAAAAUUGAGAGGCUCAACCUCUUCCCGCCGUUGAAACUGGUGGUCUUGAGUGGAUGAGAAGUACGCGGAAUGCGUGGUGUAGCGGUGAAAUGCAUAGAUAUCACGCAGAACUCCGCUUGCGAAGGCAGCGUACCGGCAUCCAACUGACGCUGAGGCACGAAAGCGUGGGGAUCAAACAGG
rnacentral:rRNA from 1 species